UUCCGGUUGAUCCCGCCGGAGGUUGCUGCUUUCAAGGUUCGACUAAGCCAUGCGAGUCGAAUGCCGCAAGGCAUGGCGUACUGCUCAGUAACACGUGGACAACCUACCCUUAGGACUGGGAUAACCCCGGGAAACUGGGAAUAAUCCCCGAUAGUCCUCGAAGGCUGGAACGCAUCGAGGGCGAAAGCUCCGGCGCCUAAGGAUGGGUCUGCGGCCUAUCAGGUAGUAGUGGGUGUAGCGUACCUACUAGCCUACGACGGGUACGGGUUGUGAGAGCAAGAGCCCGGAGAUGGAUUCUGAGACACGAAUCCAGGCCCUACGGGGUGCAGCAGGCGCGAAAACUUUACAAUGCUGGCAACAGCGAUAAGGGAACCUCGAGUGCCAGGUUACAAAUCUGGCUGUCGAGAUGCCUAAAAAGCAUUUCAUAGCAAGGGCCGGGCAAGACCGGUGCCAGCCGCCGCGGUAACACCGGCGGCUCGAGUGGUAACCGUUAUUAUUGGGUCUAAAGGGUCUGUAGCCGGCCGGAUAAGUCUCUUGGGAAAUCUGGCAGCUCAACUGUCAGGCUAUCAGGAGAUACUGUCUGGCUCGAGGCCGGG
rnacentral:rRNA from 1 species